UGUGUGCGUGUAUUGUGAGUUCCAUUGCAGAACAAACUUACUUGUUUUGACAAUAAGAUUCACCAAAUUAAAGAUCAUUUCAAGAGGAAUAUUCUGCUUUUGUCUAGUUCUAACAUGAAAAUGACUAGGUGAUAUAACAUAUCUAUAAUCCUUGUAGCAACUAAGAUGAAAAAUGCCUUCAUAAUCAGUUAGUAAAUUCAUUAAUGUUUUAUCGUCAAAAUAUGGUCAUCAUUUUCUAACUCAUGUUAUAUUCAGAUAAGCUUAGAUGGCACCUUUUACCUUCUCCUCGUUAAUCAGCUCUACUUCUAGGUGUUAGUACCUGAAGCACAAUUUCCCUAUAUUUAUUAUGCACUAUGUACAAGAGCAAUAUGUGUAACAAUAAUAUCCUUACUAAAAUGAACUGCAUAAUAUAAGAAAAUACUUGUAAAAAAAUGACAUAAGCAGCAGCAUUGGUCAUUUAAGUCAUAAUAGAAUACAGCAAUGAAGCAUAGAGAAACCUAGAGGUCAAAGAACGAGACAUCUACGUGUAAAUUCAUUCCGAGAAAGUUGUCAAAGAACUUUGGGAAAUUCUAUAAGCUAAAGUCAUGUAGAGGUACAAAAUUUUGUAAACAAAAAUUCAACCUACUAAAACAACUUGUAAACACACUAAAUGAAACAUACAAGCUAAGAAGCAUGCAGGGAAAAUCAAAGGUUGUGUCCUGUGUCUAUGAUAGGG
rnacentral:lncRNA from 1 species